UACGUAGGGGGCAAGCGUUGUCCGGAUUUAUUGGGCGUAAAGAGCGUGUAGGCGGCCAGACAGGUCCGUUGUGAAAACUCGAGGCUCCAACCUCGAGACGCCGAUGGAAACCGUCUGGCUAGAGUCCGGAAGAGGAGAGUGGAAUUCCUGGUGUAGCGGUGAAAUGCGCAGAUAUCAGGAAGAACACCCGUGGCUAAGGCGGCUCUCUAGUACGGUACUGACGCUGAGACGCGAAAGCGUGGGGAGCGAACAGG
rnacentral:rRNA from 1 species